UAAGGACAGAGGGGUGAUUAGUGACAGAGAGAGGGAUGGGGUGACUAGUGACAGUCACCCCCUCCCUCACUCUGUCACUAGUCACUCCCUCUCUCACUCUGUCACUAGUCACCCCCUCUCUCACUCUGUCACUCC